rnacentral:rRNA from 1 species
GGGCCCGCACAAGCGGUGGAGCAUGUGGUUUAAUUCGAUGAUACGCGAGGAACCUUACCAGGGUUUAAAUGCAGAACGACAGGGGUGGAAACACCCCCUUCUUCGGACGGACUGCAAGGUGCUGCAUGGUUGUCGUCAGCUCGUGCUGUGAAGUGUCGGGUUAAGUCCCAUAACGAGCGCAACCCCCAUUUCUAGUUGCCAGCGGUUCGGCCGGGGACUCUAGAGAAACUGCCAGCGUAAGCUGUGAGGAAGGUGGGGAUGACGUCAAAUCAUCACGGCCCUUACAUCCUGGGCCACACACGUGCUACAAUGGUAGGGACAACAGGUUGCCAACCCGCGAGGGUGAGCCAAUCCCAAAACCCUAUCUCAGUUCGGAUCGGAGUCUGCAACUCGACUCCGUGAAGUUGGAAUCGCUAGUAAUCGCGGAUC